UGUACGACGAUUGCAGUGUGAAGCCAAACCAGAUAUUCAUACCCAAAGCGGCUUUUCAGGGAUCUAUUUGUUUGACGGUUGGGAGAAAUCUAUAUUUCUGUAACUUUCACGUAUCAUAUGCUCGAAGAUUUUCUCAUUAAAAACAACUCUUUCGAUUCUUUUGUGCACUCAAAACAAUUUGUUUCUAAUGUUAUAUAUUUGCAGGUUAUUAGUUGCAUAUGCACUUUGAUUGGACAUUCUUGAAGUAUCAGCAGUUUUGACUCCAACUCCAACUCCAGCUCCAGCUCCAAACCAAGAGCUUCCAUUAGAAAGACCUCGGUGACAUACACACGUCCCAACUGCAAAAGUUGGAAGACACAGCUACACAUCUCAUGGAUACGUUCAAACAUGCUAUUUGCGUUUAAAAAGUGAUUUUUAUAGCUUCGAUGUUGUGAUCUACGCCAAACUAUUGAGAGGAACAAGCGAGCCACUGAAUUGGGUGAAAUAGUAUGCUUCUGAUAGUCCACGCUUCAGCAUGAUCAUUGACAGCCUAUGCAACAACAUCCAGUGCUGUAGGGAAAGGAGUUAUUUUUAUUUCUUAAAUAGAGCAAUAAAGAGAAGCCUAUGGUGGAGACUGUAGUGAAAAGAUUAAUGAAGAUUAUCAAAACAAACGAUAUAUUUUUCUCUAGGUUACGUCAAAAUUAAUUUGAAAACUAAUUUUAUAA